AUUGAACGCUGGCGGCAGGCCUAACACAUGCAAGUCGAGCGGCAGCGGGAAAGUAGCUUGCUACUUUUGCCGGCGAGCGGCGGACGGGUGAGUAAUGCCUGGGAAAUUGCCCAGUCGAGGGGGAUAACAGUUGGAAACGACUGCUAAUACCGCAUACGCACUACGGGGGAAAGCAGGGGACCUUCGGGCCUUGCCGGAUUGAAUAUGCCCAGGUGGGAUUAGCUAGUUGGUAAGGUAAUGGCUCACCAAGGGGACGAUCCCUAGCUGGUGUGAGAGGAUGAUCAGCCACACGGGAACUGAGACACGGUCCAGACUCCUACGGGAGGCAGCAGUGGGGAAUAUUGCACAAUGGGGGAAACCCUGAUGCAGCCAUGCCGCGUGUGUGAAGAAGGCCUUCGGGUUGUAAAGCACUUUCAGCGAGGAGGAAAGGUUGAUGCCUAAUACGUAUCAACUGUGACGUUACUCGCAGAAGAAGCACCGGCUAACUCCGUGCCAGCAGCCGCCGUAA
rnacentral:rRNA from 1 species